CGUAACACACCUGUAUACUGUUUUGGAGGUACCGAUAAAGAUGAUACUGGCGUAGAGAUAGACUCAGUAACAAGAUCAGAUGUACCAAUCAAUGUUUGCCUCAAUGACCUACAGUCACAUUGAAAAACAAGAAAACAUGUUUCAUUUUGCAGGUAAGGGAUAUACUUUUGAAAUUUGUAAUAUUUUGUCGUCAUUGUUGUUUCUUUAAACAUUAUACCAAUUUCAAAUAAAAUUCCCGGGUAGUUGAAAAUAUGGCUACUAAAAAGUUACUAGGGUGACAUAUGUAAUAGAACAAGUCUAGCGUUUGAAAAACACGUUUGCAUGUAUUGAACAGGUACAAUAUUUCAAUGCACUUCAAGACUUAUAAACCAAUGAAAACGGUCUUAUUUUUUUAAAAAAGUCUUCCACUUAACAAGCUUGAAUGAGAAAGCAAAAUCGUUUUUAGGACAACACAUAUAAAAUAAAUACAUGAUCGACGAGUAACAAAUUAAUUUCAGACAAACUAAAUAUAUAAACACUUUAAAGCUCUCACCUCUAUUGUGAGUGGGACCAUAGAGUUGGGUUUUUUUUAACAAAUUUGAUUCGACUUUGAAAGGACAAUUUUUGCAGAAGUAUUAUUCUGAUUUUCCAAUAUUUUGAGUAUGUUAUACCAGUAUUAAUGUCUCUUAGGUGUUAAUCAUAUCAAACCUCUUUCACUGAAUAAAUAUUUUUUGGUUUGUUUCAGAAAAUACAAUGGAGCACUCUGUUCAUGGAAAGGACAACUUCUACCGGGAGUAAAUUGUCUGCCGGAAGUUUGUGAGGACAGAUGUCAGGGGUGUUGGGACCUACCACUCCUUAUAUCUGUCUUCAAAAUUGACCGGCUUUAUACAACGAUUACCAUCUUCGGAAGCAAAGCAGGAACCAGUUCUACUUUAUUUUACUUUCCCCAUAUUUGUUUGUAAUUUAAUAUACAUAGUCGUAAAUAUCUGUUUCUCGG
rnacentral:lncRNA from 1 species